UGGAGGUGUUGCUGCACUUACUGGUGACUGUGUGGGUGCAAUUGGUGUAGUUGUGGGUGGAGGUGUAGUAGGCAAAGUCACUGGUGAUGCUGCUGGUGCUUGAGCAUCGAUAAUGGUUAAUGGGAAGCAGAGGCAAACCAAGGAUUUAGGAGAUGACAUCAGCCCCAAAGAAAGAUUACACGAACAGGUGGGGUUUCUUCAAAGGUUGGAACUUGGAAGUACUCGCAGGCCAACGUGUGUUUCUGUUAAAACUUGAGAUGUAAGUUUGUGUUUGUGGGGCAUUUUUCUUCCCAAAUAUUCAUUCAUGCCAAAAUGGAAUGGACAAGAAACGAAACAGAAGGAUUGCAGAUGGCAAAGCUUGUCCUAAUCUCAUGCCAACUGUGGAUUGAGCAUGAUGUUAAUCCUAACAUUGGUGACCAGUCGCUCUCAAAGUUUAAGCCACAAAGAAAACAAGGUCAGGUACCCUUUUCUGGUCUUAUUUUCAAUUUCUCCCACGUAUGGAUCUCUUGCUUUUUCAAGACACUAUCAGCCUUUCAUAGUUUAGGCCUAGGCAUUUGAUACUUUGUGCAUAUUGAUGGAAUUGUAUAUCAUGUCCAAAAUAUGGUUGAAAAUCAUUGUAUUUAAAUUUUCUUUUGUUUUUUUUGAAGAAUCUACCUUAAUCUGACUGGUGACUUCAUUGAAAUAAAAGUAGAAGAUUAAAAGUU